rnacentral:rRNA from 1 species
AUGGUCGAAGGUGAUGAACCCAGCUUGCCAUUGGUCCUGAGUGAUAUCAUCCACAAGGCGGUCAUCGAGGUAAAUGAGGAAGGCACUGAAGCUGCAGCCUCCACAUUGAUGCAUCGUAGAGCGCCACCGCCACCUCCUCGGGUGGAUUUCGUAGCUAACCAUCCGUUUGCGUACUUUAUAGUGGAGGAAGUGACCGGCAUAGUUGUUUUUGUGGGACACGUCCUUGACCCUUCUAAUGAGGAGUAG